GACGAACGCUGGCGGCGUGCUUAACACAUGCAAGUCGAACGGAAAGGCCUUUUCGGAGGUACUCGAGUGGCGAACGGGUGAGUAACACGUGGGUGAUCUGCCCUGCACUCUGGGAUAAGCCUGGGAAACUGGGUCUAAUACCGGAUAGGACCGCACUUUAGUGUGUGUGGUGGAAAGUUUUUUCGGUGUAGGAUGAGCCCGCGGCCUAUCAGCUUGUUGGUGGGGUAAUGGCCUACCAAGGCGGCGACGGGUAGCCGGACUGAGAGGUUGGUCGGCCACAUUGGGACUGAGAUACGGCCCAGACUCCUACGGGAGGCAGCAGUGGGGAAUAUUGCACAAUGGGCGCAAGCCUGAUGCAGCGACGCCGCGUGGGGGAUGACGGCCUUCGGGCUGUAAACUCCUUUCGCCAGGGACGAAGCGUUUUGUGACGGUACCUGGAGAAGAAGCACCGGCUAACUACGU
rnacentral:rRNA from 1 species